UAUCGCUCUCAAAGACAUAAAGAAAGAGAACUUAGAAUUCAGCUCCACCUUUCCAGAUUUAGAAGUGUAGGGACACGUGACAGGUGCGUAUUAGCAGAUGGCAUCCUUGGGUUGAAUUCAAAUUACAAGCGUAUAAGCACGUGACAGGUGUAUAACAGAUGGCUUCCAUGGCUUGAAUUCAAAUGGCACCUGUUGAAAGUCUUUUUUACUUUUAGCUCUUUAUGAAGGUCCCAAGCUGGCCGGAAAGAUGAAAUUUUUCGCCAUCAAUUGUCUCCUUGAAUGGGUAUCAUCCAAUAAAACCCCCGAUACCGCCUUUGCGCGGAAACAGCCUUCUAAUAAAGAGCUUCUUCUUCCUCCAAACGAUGUCGACAAAGGAAAUAACUUGUCUAUAGAAAGCACCUUCUCCAAGUAUUUUACUUUCACCCACUGUCUAGCCUUAGACCUCAUGGUGAACUUCUUUGCAUUAUGAAGAAGCCAACUUCCCAAAACAUGAAUCUUCUUACAACCAUUUCCUAAAGAACAUCAAAGGCAAAGGUGAUGAAAGGGUACAUUCACAUAGUUAAAGCUCUUACUGUUGGUUCUCCCUAUGCAUUUGGGCAGCUCAUUCUUGGUCACUUGUAUCGAGGAAUCAACAAUGUCGUCAAUGCUAACAUGGAUCCACAUCAUGCCGAUUUUCUAUAGAUAUUGUAGCUUUGGCUUCAUGCUUAUUUUCCUGAGAAGAGGCCAUCUCUGUCCAUAAGUUAACUCAAUGCACUCCUAAGCCGUCAAAUCCUUCAAAAUGGUUUGCAGAGACAUUCAACCAAAAAUUGCUUUGAUUUCUUCUACUCCAUGGACCAUCAAGUUUCGGAAACUUUUUCAGUGCUAACCAGAUAUCCUUUUCUUCCUUCUUGGUUGAGUACUGUACUUAAUCCUUGUUAGGGCAUAGAGAAAAACCCUCCAUUAAUGAAUAUUUUGAAAAUUAUUUGGUCUAGUAUGCUGAUCAAUCAAGAUCUUCCUUUCCAUUGAAAAUUCAAAUCCUAUCAGUGCAAUGUAGAAGUCUAUUGUCCAAACCUCGUGGCUCAGCAAUUUGGUCUUUUCCAAGCCAGUAAUGUACCAUGGGUAUCUUCUUAUAAUCUUUGUUCCACAGAUCGGUCAUCUCUUUCCUCAAUUGACGAAUUAAGGAAAUGCAAUACUACCUUCAAGCAAUCCAGUUAUUCUUUCAAGUGCAGUGUCUUCUUGUCUAAUCUCAAUACCACUUGAAACUUCAAUGAUUGGUGGAUCAAGAUUGUAAAUACCAUGUUCAGGUGUCCUGUUGAGGAUGUUGCCAUCUAUGUCUUUUCCAAACACAAUCCCACCACCAAGACUAUCGAUGGUCAUUCCAUGUAGAUAAUGGAUUCAUUUUUACCUCCACAUUCCAACCAAUCUCUAGACAUUAGUAAGUUUAUGCAAAAAAAAUCCUUCAAAAAAUGUGGUUUUGCUUGAACUAACUGUCUUACUUUUGUGGGUUGUUCAUUUGACGUUCAGCUUUUAGCUCCUUCAUCGACCGAUGAAAUAACUUCCAACAAACAGAAAAAGUGGGAACCUGUACCCUCGAAUCAGAAAAAAAACUACAUCCGGCAUGCGAAGAUAAAAAGGCUAUCAUCCCAUCUUCUCAUGGCGAUCAAUCUCCAACAAAUGAUAUGCACAAUGAUAUUAUUAAUAUGGAGCAUGGCCAAACUUUGGACAAACGCUCUCCUUCUCCUUUGGUUGAAUUUUAUAUUUUGCCUUUGGUGCCUCUGGCCUCAUUUGCUAUUUCCAAACCUCCCUCCAUCACAACAGGAAACAAAUCUAAGGUAAUUUUUUCUUACUCACACUUCAAGUUAUCUUAAAUGUUGAAAUAAUUUUCUUUAUCUAUUAUUUUAUAAUGCAUAAAUCUUUCAUUUUUCUGGCUGAAUUUGACCUUGGAAAGAAUACCUUCCUUGAUGUUGAUGACCUUUUUGGACCAAUCUUGCCUACUUCGGUUGUAGAAACUUUAGUUGUCACUGAGAUAGAAGCAGACGAUUCUGAAAUUGAAAAGGUCCAAAAAGUUUUUGACUGUGUUGUUAGCUUUUUCAAAGGAGGUUUUGAGGCUUUAACUAAAGAUGAAGCACGAGAAGAACUAGACAAGUCGUUCGGUAUCAUCAGCAAUACUUCUUUACUAGAUGUUAGUGUCCGAUCUUGUGCCUCAAAGAUCCAUGCUUCUUUUCAUCAAGAUGGGGAUUCCUUUUAUCUGCAAAAUGGGAUAUUGAUGAGGUUGAAAAACUUUCCACUUCUUUUUCUAACUUCCAAGCUAAUUUGGCUUCCUUGCAUGCUGACUAUUCUGCAAAAAAGCAAGAAGCCGCUGCUCUAGCUAUUGAUAUCAAGGAGUUGAAGGAAAAACUAUCCACUAAGAAGCUAAUCUUAGGAAAAAAAUUAAUCAUGCCAAGAACUUGUCUACUCAAGCCACUUCUGUUAAAGAGAAAAUUAUCAAUACUAAAGAGAAGAUCAAAGAAAUUAGAAACAGGAGAUCUCAAGCUGAAGAAACUACCUAGUGGUGUAAUGGUUUAUGGGACGCUUUCAGAAAAACAACUUAUGAUGUAAUCAGAGAGCAGUAGCCUCUUUUUUUUUUUUAUAAUUGUAUUAGUUUUUCCUUCUCUAGAUAUUGUUUUAUUUGUUUUGUUAGACCAAUUCACUGAAUUUUAUGACUUCUUAAUAAAUUUAUUCUUAGCCGU